GCGCGCGCUCCCAGGCUGCCCCAACUGCUCCAGCUUCCGUUGGGGCUCCAGCGGGGCAAGGCGCAGGCGCGAGCGCUGACGGCGGGUUCCCAACGGCCGGCAGGGCUCCCAUGGCGGCGUCCAGACUCAGUCCCGUAGGCCCGAGAGAGAAGCUGAAGCUGAGCUUGACCAACGUUCCUCCUUUAGUGACGAAAGGGAUUGAACAAGCCUCCUCCAGAAGGCCUUGGCCAUGCUGAAUAUUUGUCCAGCCUGGCUAUCUAGCCUCUUCCACAGGAUCAGAAAACAGCUAUCUAAGAAGAAUGCAAUCUUCAUGGCCAAUGAUAGAAAAUGCUUCAGAAGACUGAAGGCUCCAAAGCAGCUCUCCUUCUAAAUGAGACAGAAGAGAAAGGGCCAACACUGUCCAGGAGGCAUCUAAGAAAAAUUGGGGGGACUGUGGUUAUGGGUCAGUGAUAAACUCCUCACCUAGCAUGUGUGACAUCCUGAGUUCAAUCCCAAGUACUGCCAAAAAAGAAAAAAUGAAAAGGAAAGAAAAGAAAAAUUGUCUUCCCUGUCUUUGGCAUCCAUGUCAACCCCAAUUAUGUCACUGCCACACAGAUUUUUCUUUGGUCACAGGUCUAUUCUAGAUGUCUCUUGAUGAUACCACCAUUUUGAAUGGCUUCAGCUGUUCCUUGUCUGAUUAGGAGCCUCUUCCCUAUCCAUACCUCAGAGAAGACCCAUGGUUAUCUGGAAGGAUACUGUGUGUGCUUGAGCCCACCUUUUCUUUUCUUAAAACGGGAAAUGUGCUUCCUUCCCCAUCUCGGUAUGUAAAAAGUGCCUGUACCACUUCCCCUGUGGUGCAGCAGAACUCCUAGUGAGGCCUAAAGUAGAUGGGUAUAUAUAACCUAUUCAAGCCUUUUACCUCAAGUAGAGCAGGUGGAUCUGGUUGCACUAAGAACUGGUAACUGGCAGUGAAAGCAGUCUGGUCAGGUCACCCUGAGGGCAGUUAUGAAAGGGAAUGACAGAGAGCAAUGGAGAGCUGCUAAGAGCUGCUAGGUCUGGCUGUUGAAAGAG